AGUAAUGUCUGGGAAACUGCCUGAUGGAGGGGGAUAACUACUGGAAACGGUAGCUAAUACCGCAUAACGUCGCAAGACCAAAGUGGGGGACCUUCGGGCCUCAUGCCAUCAGAUGUGCCCAGAUGGGAUUAGCUAGUAGGUGGGGUAACGGCUCACCUAGGCGACGAUCCCUAGCUGGUCUGAGAGGAUGACCAGCCACACUGGAACUGAGACACGGUCCAGACUCCUACGGGAGGCAGCAGUGGGGAAUAUUGCACAAUGGGCGCAAGCCUGAUGCAGCCAUGCCGCGUGUGUGAAGAAGGCCUUCGGGUUGUAAAGCACUUUCAGCGGGGAGGAAGGCGGUGAGGUUAAUAACCUCGUCGAUUGACGUUACCCGCAGAAGAAGCACCGGCUAACUCCGUGCCAGCAGCCGCGGUAAUACGGAGGGUGCAAGCGUUAAUCGGAAUUACUGGGCGUAAAGCGCACGCAGGCGGUCUGUCAAGUCGGAUGUGAAAUCCCCGGGCUCAACCUGGGAACUGCAUUCGAAACUGGCAGGCUAGAGUCUUGUAGAGGGGGGUAGAAUUCCAGGUGUAGCGGUG
rnacentral:rRNA from 1 species